UCCCUGGUGCGUGAGAGGGUUGCUGGCCCAGAGGUCAAUGGCCCAGUGGACGUCAGCUCAGGCCAGCGAGGCCGGGCAGGUUAUACUGCAGGGCAGGAAAGCCUGUGUUGUGUGUGUGUUGUAGUUUGUCUAUUGAAUUCUUAAUAGACAACCUAAAACUACAACACACACAGAGGCAUAAAGAAACCCUCGCAGUGUCUGAACCCGAGGUGACCCUUCCUGUGUCUCGUUUCACCCGAACAGUCCAAAACCCCCAAACAUUCAACCCAACUUCAUACUAUUAAAAAAGAGGAAGAGACCAGCCGUAAAACUGGAACGUGACAUGGACAGCAUAUGGUCUUUUAGCAAGUGAAGGUCUGACCUGAGCAUGAGAUUUUAUUGGAUCAACAUGAUCUUUGGAUUGGGUAACAGCCACCGACAUCAGAGUGACCCUGAACCGGCUCAACACAUUUGGAGACGAGGUCUUCAAUGACCC